CGCACAUUCCCCCUCCCCUCCAUCUCUUCCUCCGAGUCCCGAACCUGGGCUAGGGUUCCAUCCGCCGACGCCCCCGCCCCCAUCUCCUGCAUCGUCGCCGCCCCUACUGCUCCACCGGCUUGACCUCUUGUUCGAGCACGGCGGAGGGUGUGGUUGUGGGCCGCCGCCGCCGCUGUUGUCGUGGAAAUCUAGGACAGGGCGAUGGGUGUCGGUGCCGCCGUUCCUACGCGAGGCGAGCGGCGCGGUCGGGGGCGAGCAGCGGCACCGGCGGGCACGGGGGCGAGCGGCUGCACGAGGCGAGCGGCUGCACCGGCAUGGGGCGAGCGGAGUGAGGCGGCACCGACACCGACGCGGGUGAGCGGACGAGCGGCGGCACCAGCACCGGCGCAGGGUGAACGGACGAGCGGUGGCACCGACACGGGCACAGGGCGAGCGACGGGGGCGCGGCGGGGUCGGGGAAACCUAUGGCAGGGGCGCUCCUCAUCGGCCCCCUCCCCCGUCAUUCUUCACUCCUUGCUCGAGGUCUGGGUCGGGGAAACCAUACUGUAGGCUUGCACCUCAUCACAUUACUAACUUAAUUCAUUUUUGUUAGAUCCGUCGAUGAAGAAAACAACACAUUUAAAGAUAUAAUGGUUGGUACUUCCAAUUUUACCAUUAUGGGAAUGACAAUGCUCUAUUGCUUCCUUGUUUAAGAUAAUGGUAAUCAUUUUUUUCUAACUUAUGUGUAUUAUAAUUUUCUCCCCUUACUGUUGCAAGUUAGAGUGCAGCUUUCAGAUAACUCUCUAUCCUUGGGAUAGUUCGAAUACUAUGACUAGAUAUACGGUGGUAAUGUUAUCAGUGUUAGGCCCUUCCAUGACUUCUAUGUAGCAUGUCUAGACUACCAGCGACAAUUUUAGCCUCUUAGUGAAGUAGGUUUGUAGGGCAUUGCUUCAAUUCAAGAAAAUUAAUGGCCACAAGUGGAGGUUGACACACAAUCAAAAGAGAGUUUAACCAAAGAGCUUGUGAUCUCUACACUGUAAAUUUUGUGCUUUACUAUUUUAUAUCAACAAAACAAAUAAUUUAAUAAUGGUAUUGGUCAUUUAACUAUUUUUAUGCUCACUGAACCAUAUUUUGAAGCACUUAAAGUAUCUUGCACAAAGGAUGUAGAACACUUGCCAAUUUAUUGUACGGAGUUGUUCUUUGAUAAAAAGAACUUUUCUCACUUGCUCUUUGCCUCUCAAUGUUAUCGUUAGUUAAUGGCUUAAAUUGUUGACAACUGAACAAAAAAUAAUAAUUAUAUGUGGAUGCAGAAGCACAUCAGUUAUACAGAAACAAUCAUAUGCUGAAGGAGGGAUUUGGAACUUUCACUAAAAAUGGUAAAUGGAGAUGCUCUGAUAUUGCGAUAAAAAUAAAUCACCGAUAUUUCGUUAGGAAGCGAACUCAGCAAGACAAAAUAGUAUAAUCCUUACAUUUUCAGACUACUCUUAUUUCUUUAUGUAUGUCCCUAUACAUGAUGCCUUCCCAAUUUAUGGCCUACUACUAAAGGGGAGUUAGUAGGUUGUUUCGGUUGCACCACCUCGUUCGAACCAUAUAUGUUGAGUACCGACAAUGGCUUCUAUUGGUUCCUUCUGUUACUUUAUUUAGGUUCAACUGGUUGUGUUUCUCAGGAAAACUAAUUUAUGUUACUUCUCUAUCCAGGUUGAGUUGAGCAUAUAUUUACCUACCUCAGCCGGUAGAGAUCGAAGGUUAUUACUGGCUACUAUUGAGAUGGAGCAGGCAUAAGCAUGGGGUUCAUCUUAGGUGAGUGAAUCUGCAACAUCCUUCACAAUGUAUAGCGCAUCCAGUUCGGUUGAUUAUUUUGAGAGGCUUUUUUCCGAAAGGCUUUGAGAGGUUGUUUGAAUCACCACCUUAUGUUAAUAGAAUUAUUAUACAUAAUUUUGUACAUAUAUUUCAUUUUGCAUAGGGCUACAAAGUACAAUCAAAUAAUCUGCAGCCUAACACAACUGUAUUUCAUAGAUUCUCUAAUUUACGAUCUGAGCUUUGAGGCGUUGAAUAUGUUCUAGGUAGGGCAGGGCCAGAGCAACGUGGGUUAUUGUCUAAGGCACAACAUACUUUCAGGUUUGGGAUUUCUAUUGAGUAGAAGUUAGUCCUACUUUGUGUUUCAACCUACGAAUUUGAAAGAAAAUGUCCAACAGAAGGAAAAGUGUGUUCUUUAUUUUACAUGAGGAAAAGUAUGUUCUGUUUGUUGUAUGUAAGCGAUUUGAUUCCGGUUUUGGGACCGGCCAACCAUUGAUAUUGUGGUGCAGAAGGCCGCGGGCGCUAGAGAUUGUGGCACGGUUUAGAGGGUUGGCUCGCGGCGGAGGCGGCGACUCGGGUAGGGGGCAACGAGGUAGUGUGUGACAACAUCAAUUGUCCAUGUACAUGAUGAUUAAACAAAUAUACGUGAUGUUUCCUUGUAAAUGGCUGCCUUCCCAAUUUGUGGCCUACUACUAAAGGGUAGUUAGUAGGUUGUUUCGUUUGCACCACCUCGUUCGAACCAUAUAUGCUGAGUACCGACAAUGGCUUUUAUUUGUUCCUUCUGUUACUUUAUUUAGGUUCUAUUGGUUGUGUUUCUAAGGAAAACUAAUUUAUGUUACUUCUCUAUCUAGGUUGAGUUGAGCAUAUAUUUACCUACCUCAUCAGUUAGAGAUCGAAGGUUAUUACUGGCUACUAUUAAGAUGGAGCACGUAUAAGCAUGGGGUUCAUCUUAGGUGAGUGAAUCUGCAGCAUCCUUCACAAUGUUCAACACAUCCAGUUCGGUUGAUUAUUUUGGGAGGCUUUUUUUUGAAAGGCUUUGAGAGGUUGUCUGAAUCACCACCUUAUGUCAAUAGAAUUAUUAUACACAAUUUUGUACAUAUAUUUCAUUUUGCAUAGGUAUUUCAUUUUGCAUAGGGCUACAAAAUACAAUCAAAUAAUUUGCAGACUAAUACAACUGUAUUUCAUCUUUGAGGCAUUGAAUAUGUUCCAGGGUAGGGCAGGGGCCAGAGCAAGGUGGGUUAUUGUCUCAGGCACAACGUACUUUCAGGUUUGGGAUUUCUAUUGCAUAGAAGUUUGUCCUAUUUAGUGUUUCAACCUACGAAUUUGAAAGAAAAUGUCCAACGAAAGGAAAAGUGUGUUCUUUAAUUUACAUUAGGAAAAGUAUGUUCUGUUCAUUGUAUGUAAGCAAUUUGUUACCGACUUUGGGACCGUCCAACCAUUGAUAUUGUGGUGCACAAGGCAGCGGGCGCUAGAGAUUGUGGCAUGGUUUAGAGGGUUGGCUGGUGGCGGAGGUGGCGACUCAAGUAGGGGGCAACGAGGUAGUGUGUGACAACACCUAUUGACCAUGGAUGAUGGUGGCAAGUGGUUUCAUAGGUUGUGGUGGGCGGGUCAAUAGAAUGGACGGAGAAAAAGGUGGGCAAAGGGAGGAAGCAGAAUAGUAGUAGUAGCAGCGGGUGUUGGCGCCGUGCAGGAGGUCGUGGGCACAAAAGAUGGUGAUAGGAUUUAGAGGGAUGGAUGGCGUCAUCCUCGACGGCAGUAAUGACUUGAGCAAAGGGCGACCUCCGACAACACUCGCCGGUUGUAGGGUGUUGGUUAUGCAGGGAGAGUUUGGCAUGUCGACAGAAUGGUCAAAUAAAAAAGCAGUGAUGACGGAGGAAGGAGUAGAACCAAAGGCGGGUCAUCGUUGGCUGAGAAGAGGUAGGGUAUUAACGGAUCUAAAGGCAGAGUACGAGAGGUCUCAAGUGGUUAAGGUGGUGGCAGUGUUUAGAGGGAUGGCCGACACAAAUUGUUGCAUUUUUUCGAAAGGCUUUGAGAGGUUAUCUGAAUCACCACCUUAUGUUAAAAGAAUUAUUAUACACAAUUUUGUACAUAUAUUUCAUUUUGCAUAGGUAUUUCAUUUUGCAUAGGGCUACAAAGUACAAUCAAAUAAUCUGCAGCCUAACACAACUGUAUUUCAUGGAUUCUCCAAUUUAUGAUGUGAGAUUUGAGGCGUUGAAUAUGUUCCAGGGUAGGGCAGGGCCAGAGCAAGGUGGGUUAUUGUCUCAGGCACAACGUACUUUCAGGUUUGGGAUUUCUACUACGUAGAAGUUAGUCCUACUUAGUGUUUCGACCUACAAAUUUGAAAGAAAAUGUCCAACGAAAGGAAAAGUGUGUUCUUUAUUUUACAUCAGGAAAAGUAUGUUCUGUUCGUUGUAUGCAAGUGAUUUGAUUUCGGUUUUGGGACCGGCCAACCAUUGAUAUUGUGGUGGAGAAGGCCGCGGGCGCUAGAGAUUGGCAUGGUUUAGAGAGUCGACUGGCAGCGAAGGCGGUAACUCGGGUAGGGGACAACGAGGUAUUGUGUGACAACACCUAUUGACCAUGGAUGGUGGUGUCAAGUGGUUUCAUAGGUAGUGGUGGGCGGGUCAAUAGAAUGGACGGAGAAAAAGGUAGGCAAAGGGAGGAAGCAAAAUAGUAGUAGUAGCACCGGGUGUUGGCGGCAUAGGAGAUCCCAGGGGCUAACAGUCUCGAGUGCGGCGUGUAGGAGGUUGUGGGUAGAAAAGAUCGUUGUAGGGUUUAGAGGGAUGGAUGGCGUCAACCUCGACAGCAGUAGUGACUUGAGAAAAGGGCGACCUGCGACAACACUCGCCGACUGUAGGGGGGUGGUUAUGGAGGGAGAGUUUGGCGGGUCGACAGAGUGGUCAAAUAAAAAAGCAGUAAUGACGGGAGGAAGGAGUAGAACCAAAGGCGGGUCAUCGUUGGCUGAGAAGAGGCAGGGUAUUAACGGAUCUAAAGGCAGAGUACGAGAGGUCUCCAGUGGUGGCAGGGUUUAGAGGGAUGGCCGACACAACAUGUUGCAUUCUUUCAUUUGCACAAUCCAUCCCGAGCAAUUACACAAAUAUAAAUAAAUUGAUGGAACUAUGUUAGAAAGAUCUAUUUGGGUGGAGAGAUGAGGAAGAAUGUAGUUCAUGACGGUCAUGUUCAUCGUCUACGUAUUCUCGGUGGAGGUGCUUGGGAUGGAUGGGUGCGGUGAGAGAGUGGGAUGGAUGGGUGCGGUGAGAGAGUGGUAGAAGUCAGGAUAAGGCUAGGCAAGUAAGCUAAAAAUAUUGGGUAGACAACAUUCCUGAUAUUGUGCAAGAAUUUCUUUUAUCGCAUCAAGUAGAUCUUAAUUUGUACCUUUUUUUAGUUGGAUGAUUUCUAUAUAUGUAUACAUUGCUAAAUUGCCUUUUUUAAUCAAUAUAUAUUGCAAGUGAAGUGGACUUAAAUUAUUAUUCGCCCGUGCUAUCUUUUAUCUGCAUGUGAAAUUUAGCAUGCAUUACGUUUAUAUAACUUUAACAAAAUAUUUUAAAAACCAAUGGCAACGUACGGGCACUAUACUAAGUUAAAAGCCUACUGCAAAAAAAUUAGACGCGGAAUUUACAAGGGUUACAUGUAUGCAAUAUACAUGGGGCUAUAUAAUGUCACAGUCACACGCCUCAAAUUAUUUGUAUUUAUGUAUUCUAGUUCUAUGGAUACUAGGAGCAUUAGUUAUUUUAAAGUACUGCAUUUAUAAACUUUACUAUUCAGAUAUUGUAUAUAAAAAUAUGAAUUAUUUAUAAAUGCUAUUUUUGAUCAUGAACAAUCUUAAUGGAUGACUGUUUUCACGACCUUUGAAGAAAGGAUAUUCUAGAAGUUGAGCGCAGCUGGAGGGGCUUCUAUACUUUUUAACCAAGAAAAAUGGAUGGGGCCUGUCCAAGCUAAGAAAGUGUUGAAAUAUUUUGUGUUGCCAUGGUUCCUAAAUGCUAGAAGGUAUCUUUAGUAACAUGUAUGGUUUCAAUUUGCCUAAUUUCAUGUGUAAUUUUUUGCCAGGGAAUUGCAACAUGCAAUCAAGUAUUUGGUUGUAGAAUCUUGGAAUAAGGGAACAAAAUCCUACAUGUGUUGUCUUUAACUAACGGAUAAUAACGAUAUACAUGCUUUCAUGGGAUGAUUGGUCUUGAGCAUUAAAAUGCAUCCAUGUGACAACUAUCAUUUGUAAUGCACAACAUGG
rnacentral:lncRNA from 1 species